AAGACUAUGAUUUCAGGGAUCAUUUCUAUAGCUCGGUACUAGAGAAGUUUCUCUUGUGUCUUGCUGGGUUUUUUUUGUGUGUGGUUUUUGUUUGGUUUUGUUUUUUUGCCUAAGAUCUGGGAAACCACAGGCCGCGGUGCAGCGUUCUAUCUGGACCCUGACUCUGGCUCUGGGUGUUGCUUCACUGCAACUUCCAUUUGCCAUUGGGAACUGUUCUGCUUUUCCUCUGGGAAAGUAAGAGAGAGAGGAUGCAGUCUGA
ensembl:snoRNA U3 Small nucleolar RNA U3